CAUGCUUAAUUUGAGUGGACUAUCUGACUUUGUAUCUCCGCACAGCCACCUCCUUGGAGCUUCCUUCACUGAUUUGGUUACGGAGACACUGCUGGCUCACCGCAGGUUCAUAUUGCAGGACAUGACCAGUAGCCGAAAGCAAUUGACAUUAUCUCGACAUCUACAAUAUUUGGAGCAGCUAACCUCCUAUCAAGAAGUAUUUGCGUGAAGGAGCUUGUGUAACGAUAUAAUCUGAAAUCCGAUUGAUCUCAUCAUGGAUAAGUCAUGGAUCAACAAUGAUGCUAGGCACACCAAGGAAUACUUGCAAGGGGUGAACAGUUUUCUAGCUUUUGCAUUUAGAAAUUCAGCGGUAGGAAACAAGAUAUUAUGCCCUUGUCAAAAGUGUGUUAACUCAUUUUGGAAGGUGGCAAGUGUUGUACGUGAGCACUUAAUAUGUGAUGGGUUUCUAAAAGGGUACACAACAUGGAACUUGCAUGGAGAACCUACCUCGUCUGUGAAUCAUGGGAACUUUGAUGGUGUUGAGGUAACCGAGCAAUGUAAUGAGGAUGAUGACAUAUCUUGUUUGCUUAGAGACCUAGCUGCUGGUUUAGAUGAUAGAGGAGAUUUUGAGGACAACAAUUCUGUUCUAGAACCUUCCGCUGAGCUACUUGCCCUUCAAAAGUUGGUGGCAGAUAAUAGCAAAGAGUUAUACCCUAAUUGCAAGAAAUAUACACAGCUACAUUUCCUUAUUAGAUUAUUGCACCUCAAACUCCUAGGAGGAUGGACUGAUAGAUCUUUUAAUAUGCUGCUAGAUCUGCUUAAUGAUGCACUCCCUGAGGGUUCAGCACUCCCUAGAAAUUUUCAUGAGGCUAAGAAAUUGGUGAAAUCCAUUGGAAUUGGGUACAUUAGUAUCCAUGCUUGUGAAAAUGAUUGCAUUCUAUAUUGGAAGGAUAAUUUAGAUUUAAAUUCAUGCCCAAAAUGUAAGGUUUCACGGUGGAAAUCAGCAAGAAAGAGUCUAGAUGGAAAGCAAACAUAUAAGGUUCCUAGGAAGGUUCUUCGCUACUUCCCAAUUAAGAAAUGUCUCCAAAGGUUAUUUCUGUGCAUGAUGAAGGCCGAAACAAAGAUGUACUUCUAAGGCAUCCUGCAGAUUCACCAUUGUGGAAGGACUUUGAUAAAAAAAAUCCAGAAUUUGCUAUGGAUAGCCGGAAUCUCCGUAUAGCAUUCGCCACUGAUGGUUUUAAUCCAUUUAGAACCAUGAAUGUCAGCUAUAGUGUUUGGCCUGGUAUUUGUAUUCCCUACA